rnacentral:rRNA from 1 species
GGGGAGCAAACAGGAUUAGAUACCCUGGUAGUCCACGCCGUAAACGAUGAGUGCUAAGUGUUGGAGGGUUUCCGCCCUUCAGUGCUGCAGCAAACGCAUUAAGCACUCCGCCUGGGGAGUACGACCGCAAGGUUGAAACUCAAAGGAAUUGACGGGGGCCCGCACAAGCGGUGGAGCAUGUGGUUUAAUUCGAAGCAACGCGAAGAACCUUACCAGGUCUUGACAUCCUUUGACCACUCUAGAGAUAGAGCUUUCCCUUCGGGGACAAAGUGACAGGUGGUGCAUGGUUGUCGUCAGCUCGUGUCGUGAGAUGUUGGGUUAAGUCCCGCAACGAGCGCAACCCUUAUUGUUAGUUGCCAUCAUUUAGUUGGGCACUCUAGCGAGACUGCCGGUGACAAACCGGAGGAAGGUGGGGAUGACGUCAAAUCAUCAUGCCCCUUAUGACCUGGGCUACACACGUGCUACAAUGGGAAGUACAACGAGUCGCUAGACCGCGAGGUCAUGCAAAUCUCUUAAAGCUUCUCUCAGUUCGGAUUGCAGGCUGCAACUCGCCUGCAUGAAGCCGGAAUCGCUAGUAAUCGCGGAUCAGCACGCCGCGGUGAAUACGUUCCCGGGCCUUGUACACACCGCCCGUCACACCACGAGAGUUUGUAACACCCGAAGU